rfam:Ovis aries breed Texel chromosome 2, whole genome shotgun sequence.
UCCCUGAUGGUCCAGUGGCUAAGACUCGGCACUCCCAAUGCAAGGAGCUCUGGUUCGAUCCCUGGUCAGGGAA